UGGGGAAUAUUGCACAAUGGGCGCAAGCCUGAUGCAGCCAUGCCGCGUGUAUGAAGAAGGCCUUCGGGUUGUAAAGUACUUUCAGCGGGGAGGAAGGGAGUAAAGUUAAUACCUUUGCUCAUUGACGUUACCCGCAGAAGAAGCACCGGCUAACUCCGUGCCAGCAGCCGCGGUAAUACGGAGGGUGCAAGCGUUAAUCGGAAUUACUGGGCGUAAAGCGCACGCAGGCGGUUUGUUAAGUCAGAUGUGAAAUCCUCGGGCUCAACCUGGGAACUGCAUCUGAUACUGGCAAGCUUGAGUCUCGUAGAGGGGGGUAGAAUUCCAGGUGUAGCGGUGAAAUGCGUAGAGAUCUGGAGGAAUACCGGUGGCGAAGGCGGCCCCCUGGACGAAGACUGACGCUCAGGUGCGAAAGCGUGGGGAGCAAACAG
rnacentral:rRNA from 1 species